rnacentral:rRNA from 1 species
UACGUAGGGUCCGAGCGUUGUCCGGAUUUACUGGGCGUAAAGCGCGCGCAGGCGGCUCGUCAAGUCUGGCGUGAAAGCCCCCGGCUCAACCGGGGAGGGUCGUCGGAGACUGGCGAGCUUGAGGGCGGUAGGGGCUGGUGGAAUUCCCGGUGUAGUGGUGAAAUGCGUAGAGAUCGGGAGGAGCACCCGUGGCGAAGGCGGCCAGCUGGGCCGUCCCUGACGCUGAGGCGCGAAGGCGUGGGGAGCGAACGGG